rnacentral:tRNA from 1 species
GGCUGGGUAGCUCAGUGGAUUGAGAGCCAAGCCUAGAGGUGGGAGGUCCUAGGUUCGAAUCCAGCUCAGCCA